UGGGCCAUCUGUGCCAGGUGCAUUGAGGGGAGAGGAAAAUUAACUUCCCUUGGCUGCUGGCUGUUUUCAGAUGUGCUUACCCACGUUUUAGCGAGCAAAGUCACUGCUGCUACUGUCCUUUUCCUGGGGCAGAGCAGAGAGAUUUAGAAAGCAAUUUUAUCUGCAACCACGGAUUAAUGCAGAAGGAGGCAGAGAAAUUGAAAAGGGGUGACAGGUUCAGGAGCAGGGACUCAGGCGGGCAGAGGGGGGUGAGAUGCGGCUGCUGCCCUGCCUGCCGGAGCCUCCCCAGCGCCAGGGCCUCGGGAAGAGGAGGGCAGGAUCCUACAAAAGGAGACGGGCGGCCCCAUCAAGUGGCAGCUCGGCAAAUUGCAGGGAAAUGCAACUGAACGGACUGUGCUUCAGGAGGAUGGCUAAAUAUUGAGACACCUAAAGGAAAGACCAGCUGAUUCGCAUCUACCUCAGCAUGAGGUAUCCCACAAGAAAAAAACUGCAGCUCCGCUACCAAAAAACAAAAAUCUCACUUCUUUGACUUCAGGAGCAGCACUUUGCUGGUGGAAUGGGCACAAGGAAGGCCACCACGCAAUCCCCCUGGCUAUAAGGACACUUGCUGAUGCCUUGGUCCCAGCAUUCCCCCAAGUAAUUCAAUAUAAUCCCAAUAACUUGCUGAAAGGUCACCACGUAGUAAUUCAUCGCGCAGCUGAUAGCGAGAUGAUGGCGGUGCUGGCACACGGCCCAUGAGCUCUCGCAGCUAACUUGCUAAGUGAGGCCAUUUUCCCUGAAAGACAAAACUGGGACUAGAAACACAGCCCUCACACUGGGAGCUGGGCUUUUUACUUUAAUUUCACGAUGGAGGAUCUCUAACUCCCCCAAGGCACUCAGCUGGAUCCUGGAAAGAGAAAACUCGUGGGUGCGGAAGCCCAGCCGGCAUGUCAGUGAGUUUCAGUGUGUUGGAAACAGCAGCCAAAAAAAAACAGCCAUCUCUGGGGAAGUCAUUUGUCUGGAGAAAGGAAGCAGAGACCCUGUUUUGGAGUGUGCUUGUGUAAAGGAAGUGGAAGGUGUUUUUGGGGUGCUGCCUCUGGAUACUCCCUGUGCCGUGAGUCCGUGGCAAGGAGGUUUGCAAAGUGCCUGCUGGCUGCUCCCACACAGAAUCAUGGAUCUGGUGCUCAUGGCACAUCCACCUCUGGGGGCUCUGGGUCACCCAGCUGCACCCCUGUGUCCUUCCUGCUGGAGAGCUGUGUGCUGGCACCUGAGCACCAGGCUCUGCACCCAUGGGUGGUGCAUCCCCAGUGCAAGGGAAAGAGGAUGUGCCCCAGCCCAGCCAGCUGGCUCUAUGUGAGGCAUUUGGGGUCAAAUUCUUGGCCAGCAUGAAAGACUUCUGCUCCCGAGGUCAGUUUCUGAACAAGGACUCAUUUCAGCCUGAGAGGACAGCUGAGUUUUGUGUUGAGGCAGGAGAAAAUAUGCAACUGCUUCUUUGCUCUAACAAACUCACUGUUCUUUACGUUCCCAAGGAUCUCAGACAAGACCUCUGAUCUACUGCAAUAAAUAGAGCAUGAAAAUCAGGUUUGGGCUUCAAUUUUAUCCAUGACGUUAGCUCUGCCGUCCCUUUUUUCCUCCUGCAGGGUGAA